rnacentral:rRNA from 1 species
AUUGAACGCUGGCGGCAGGCCUAACACAUGCAAGUCGAGCGGAUGAAGGGAGCUUGCUCCUGGAUUCAGCGGCGGACGGGUGAGUAAUGCCUAGGAAUCUGCCUGGUAGUGGGGGAUAACGUCCGGAGACGGGCGCUAAUACCGCAUACGUCCUGAGGGAGAAAGUGGGGGAUCUUCGGACCUCACGCUAUCAGAUGAGCCUAGGUCGGAUUAGCUAGUUGGUGGGGUAAAGGCCUACCAAGGCGACGAUCCGUAACUGGUCUGAGGGGAUGAUCAGUCACACUGGAACUGAGACACGGUCCAGACUCCUACGGGAGGCAGCAGUGGGGAAUAUUGGACAAUGGGCGAAAGCCUGAUCCAGCCAUGCCGCGUGUGUGAAGAAGGUCUUCGGAUUGUAAAGCACUUUAAGUUGGGAGGAAGGGCAGUAAGUUAAUACCUUGCUGUUUUGACGUUACCAACAGAAUAAGCACCGGCUAACUUCGUG